UGGGGAAUAUUGCACAAUGGGCGCAAGCCUGAUGCAGCCAUGCCGCGUGUAUGAAGAAGGCCUUCGGGUUGUAAAGUACUUUCAGUCGGGAGGAAGGUGGUAAGGUUAAUAACCUUGGCAAUUGACGUUACCGACAGAAGAAGCACCGGCUAACUCCGUGCCAGCAGCCGCGGUAAUACGGAGGGUGCAAGCGUUAAUCGGAAUUACUGGGCGUAAAGCGCACGCAGGCGGUUGAUUGAGUCAGAUGUGAAAUCCCCGGGCUUAACCCGGGAAUUGCAUCUGAUACUGGUCAGCUAGAGUCUUGUAGGGGGGGGUAGAAUUCCAUGUGUAGCGGUGAAAUGCGUAGAGAUGUGGAGGAAUACCGGUGGCGAAGGCGGCCCCCUGGACAAAGACUGACGCUCAGGUGCGAAAGCGUGGGGAGCAAACGGG
rnacentral:rRNA from 1 species